UACGUAGGGUGCAAGCGUUGUCCGGAAUUAUUGGGCGUAAAGAGCUCGUAGGCGGCUUGUCACGUCGGGUGUGAAAGCCCGGGGCUUAACCCCGGGUCUGCAUUCGAUACGGGCUAGCUAGAGUGUGGUAGGGGAGAUCGGAAUUCCUGGUGUAGCGGUGAAAUGCGCAGAUAUCAGGAGGAACACCGGUGGCGAAGGCGGGUCUCUGGGCCGAUACUGACGCUGAGGAGCGAAAGCGUGGGGAGCAAACAGG
rnacentral:rRNA from 1 species